CGCGCUCUAUCAUAGUUCGUAAGCUCGCCUUCCUGCUUCGGCCAUCAACGCUUCCUCGGCCCUGAGUCUGGGUUUAGGGUUUCAGCUUCGGCUCGGGUCUUCCAUCAACGCUUGCUUCGUCUCUCUGCCUAUGUGGUUGUUGACCUUGAUUAUAAUCGUAUCACUACAUCAGAGAAAAUUCCACCUAUUCCCGAGCCAGAAUACCACUUCUUACGUGGUGAGGUAAUCAAGUUAUUAUACCCCAAUGUAAUUGGAAUUGAUGAAUUGAAGGCUGGAAUAUAUAGUGUAUCUGAGCAUUAUACUAAAUUUGUGGCUAAGCAGUGGGGAGCGGAUCAUGACCUUCAGUUAAGGAUGAUAUUCUUAAAGUUCUUUGCAACAGUUUUAAGUGGCUAUCGGAAUUUCCUAGUAUGAAUAUUCUAGUUCUUGUUUCAAGAAUUUAGUUUUCAAUCUUCCAUGAGAAAACUUUGGUAUGACCUUUCAUUGUUCAUUUUCUUCUUUUUUCCUAUUUUGGCAUCAGGAAAAUAGUUCCACUUAGGUCUUCAAUACUCAAGCUUUCUUGAAGAAAUGGUCUCGAGCUACUAACCAAUCACCAGAUCCAAUGUUUCUAUUAAGGAUUCAAGAACUUGAAUGCUCCAAGAUAAUCCACCUAGAACUCAAGGGAACCAAUGCAUAUUCCAAAGUCAAUUAUCAUC